GGUUCUGUGCUGUAAAGGUAGCAGACGUCGUUGUGGUGCUGUAACACCGUAAAACGAUUCCGACGCAGUCUGGGUUCGAUUCCCAGCAGAGCCA
rnacentral:tRNA from 2 species